ACCGGCCACCUGAGGCCGCAGCCCCGAAUCCCUGAAAACUGGUCCUCUUUGAGGGUCGAUGCACAUCACCCCAGGAAGGACAAGCAGAUGAAAUGGCAGAGGAGCAGCAGUGAACUGACCAGGAGGGAAGAAAGCCAGGCCAACCUAACAGGAGGCAAAGCCCAUCUCGGUCUCUGUUCUUGCAGGCCUCGGAAGAACCGGAAGGAGAAGCAGAUGGGGAAGCAGCAGGGAAGAGGCGAGGUAGGAGAAAAGCCAGUCAGAGAAAUGGGAUGUGAAGGAAAGGGACUCUGGACAGAGUGGCCUCCCUGCCUUUAGGUCUCAAUCAUGUCUUAGCCAAAUUUCGGCUUUGUGAGCCCUUGGGCGAGCUCCCUGUAACUCAGAAAUGAGUCUCUGCCCUUGAUGCUGUUGCACUUAUGCAGCAGUCAGGUGGAAGGUGGACAACCCUGUAAUCAAGGUGUAUGUCACCACCACCAUGUUUGUAAAAGCUGUGGAUCUGCUUAGUGGUCUUGCACAGCACAGCCACCCUGUAAUCGGGGUCCAGGCCAGCUGUCAGACCUGGCUGCCAAUGGCACAGCAACCCAUAAGUGGGGUGCCUGCUGCUUUCUAACACAAGAAAGAGAAUGUCUGUAGCACUGGAUGUCCUGUAAUUGGGAGUCAAAGUCCACUGCUAUUCCCAGCCAGUCAGAGAGGUGCCCCUGUAAGCAGGGUGGACGUAGCCUCCUUCCGCUGGCCGUAGAGAGCCCAAGCAGUCUGCAGUGUUGUGCUGCAGGAUGGCCUUGCAGACCAGAGCCGAGUCUUGUGGGAUGACAGCCAACUCUUUAAAACCAGAAGCAUGAUGAACUUCCUGUGGUCUGGGUUGAAGUCUAGCCUCCUUUCUGAUCCCUGUGUCCAGGCACCUGUCCUUUUUCAUGCAUCUGUGUCUGAUACUCUACGUCUGAACCCCUGGGCCGCCCUGUAACAAGGGUGCGAGUCCCGUGCUCCUGGUGGAGGGCUAAAUAGCACAGAGCAGUGGACCACCCUGUAAGCAGGGCCCAGGUCUCUAUGUGCCUUUGGGAACAGCUCUGUCCUUUGCCUGGCCUGAUGCCCUCCCUGUAAGCAGGGCUCUGGGCCCUUCCCUUUUGCCCCUCAUGGGCAGUCUGACUAGCCAGAUGGGCCAUGCCCUGUAACGAGGGUUUGGGUCCUGUGCUUCCUGUUGCACAGCUAGGUUCUGCAGAGCUGUGGAUGGCCCUGUAAGCAGGGUUCUAGUCAUAAUGUACCUUUAGGGACAGCUCUGUCCUUUCCCUGGUCUGACAGCCCUUCCUGUAAGCAGGGCUCUUGGUCUUUGCCUUUUGCCUGCCCCCCCCCCCGGGAAGUGUGACUAGUCAGACAGACCGUGCCCUGUAACAAGGGUGCGAGUCCCAUGUCUCUUGAUGGAGAGCUAGAUUCUCCAGAGCUGUGGACCACCCUGUAAGCAGGGUCCAAGUCACAAUGUACCUUUGAAGACAGCUCUGUCUUUUGCCAGGCCUGUUGGCACUCCCUGUAAGCAGGGCUCUGGGCCUUUCCCUUUUGCCCCUCUUGGGCAGUGUGGCUAGUCACAUGGACCAUGCCCUGUAACAAGGGUUCAGGUCCUGUGCGCCCUGUUGCACAGCUAGGUUCUGCGGAGCUGUGGACUGCCCUGUAAGCAGGGUUCAGGUCACAAUGUGCCUUUAGGGACAGCUCCAUCCUUUGCCAGGCCUGAUGGCCCUCCCUGUAAGCAGGGCUCUGGGCCUCCCUUUUGCCCCCCAUGGGCAGUCUGACUAGCCAGACGGGCCAUGCCCUGUAACGAGGGCACUGGUCUCAGCCUUCUUGCCCCCUGGGAGCGGAGGAGGAUUUUCAGUGUAAGGCUCGAGUUUGAGCAGUUUGCAGCAUCGAGCUCCUUUCUGGCCUGGGAACACUUUUUCCCUUGUCAGUGUGUGGAGAGCGAGAGAGAGGAGCGCCUGGGAGCAAAAGCGUUUGUUAUUUUCUUUUUGUUGUUAAAAUCACUGCAGCGUACUUUAUUUUCUUCCCAAUGCUGGGAAAGGGGCAAGAUGUGUCCUCGAAGCCUUCUCCUCCCACCUCCAUACCUAGGGGGAUGAAUUUCCAGGCCUUUUGGCCUCGGGGAAUGUUAGGCUCACUCUGUAAUAUUUUUGGGCACAUGGCCUCCCUGUAUGUCAGGGUACAGGCUUUAGGCCCCCUCUUUUUGGGUUCCUUUGGGCACUUGGUAGCUUGAUUGCAGAGUUUCUGCCCUCUUUGAGAGAAGGCCACAUAUUCCCCACCUGAGUCCCUGGGGAUGAGUGCCCUGGCACUUGGCCAGCCUUUCGUCUGCGCCCCCAUCCCUGGCCUACAGCCUGAAAGCAGGAUCCACGUCCCCUUGAUUCGGGUCGGGUUGGGUCUCAUUCCACUUGGUGAGGUUGGCCAGAGAUGAUACCUACAGAUUACAGGGAAGGUUGCAGGCUUCUGGAGGAUACUGAGUGCAUUCGGACCCCUGAGGCUUCGUGACCUUCCAGUAACUCAGGUCCAGGUCUCUUCUCCUCUGUUUUGCUGCUCCUGGCACCAUUGAGAUAGUCUCCCCUCCUACCCUGUAAACAGGGUUGUGCCCCACCCCAUCUGACCUUGGGGGAGGAGGCCUCAUUUAGCCCUUUGGGCUCUGUGGCAGCCAUGAUGGGAGGCUGAAGUCAUGGCCCUUGUGUCCCCGGACACGGGGCUGCUUUGAGCCCUGAUGGAGAUUGCCUGAGGCACCCAUCAGCUGGCAUUUAGGGCUUUACAGGUUUUCUCUCUGGGCUUCAUGCCCCAGCAGCCAGCUGUGUGCAGGGAGCACCACCCUAUAAACAAGAUUGCUGAUGUUUGUGGUCACCUUCAUGGUGCUGCCCUAGCACUUCUGUCCAGAGUCCUGGCCCCUUGCACUCUGCUUCUGGCUGGCCCAGAUGUCGGCAGCUGAGACCACAGACGUCUGCCCUCCCCUGUUUCCGCAGACAGAGGACAGUGGCUGCAGGUCCAGAGGAAGAAGCAGAGAAGACAACAGACAAAUGGGAGUUAACCGAUAACCAGGGCAGAAAACCGUGCCAGCCCACCAGGAGACAAAGGUCCCUGAAGGGCAGCUGGAGAAGAAGGAACAGAAGCAGGACAAGAAAGCUCAGAAACAACAGGUGUGGGUUGGGGUAGACAGGAGGAAGAGAGGCACAUGUUUAAUGUAUGCUUAGAUAAGUACAGAUGGAGACUUUUGUGUGCGUCUCUACACUUUCAAAUACUCAUUAGGAGCAAGCAGCUGCACGCUUCAAGUUGCACUGUGCAUUGUCUUGGGUUGGUCCUGAUUGUAGGCAAUGAGGUUGAGGCAUUGUGCUAGCUGUGCAUAUUGAUGUGUGGUAGUCUAGGUUUUUGCAGGUUGUUUGGCUUUGCUAGUUGAGUAGUUGAUCAAAAUAGAUGUGAUUGAAGGUAGCGUGUAGGGUUUUCUGGGUUUGGUUGCUGAGCAGUUCUUGGUGUUAGUGUAGAAAUGCAGGUCUGUGCUCAGUUGUUAGUGGCUUGAGUGUAGCAUGCUUUGGCUGUAGGUUGUGGGGCCAAUUUGAGGCUGUUUGUGUUGUGAUUUCUUUGCAUCUGUAAGUUAAGACUCCAUGGAUGUUUGAAAGGGUUAAUCUCCAUCUCCACGGAGACAAAGAUCUCCUGUGUCCAAAUGAUCCUAAAGGUAGUUGGUGUGCUCAACAUCAAACCGGAUGUGCAUAGCUGAACAAUAAACGGUAUAAAAAACUUUUCACCUUGUGGCUGGUGCUCUCCUACAUUGAGAAGACUUGGUCAUUAUCCUUUCCUGUUGAGAGCUGCCUGGAGGAAUAAACCUUCAUUCUGUCUACUGAUCUGUGUUCUUACUUGUUGAAUGCAAAUAUUUCCUGUUCUGAUUUACAAAUGGUAAAAUAAUGGAAUAGGUGAUGCCUAGUCACCAAUUUACAACUGUUAAUGCACUGUAGGAAAUCAGUCCUGAUUUAUUUGAGGAAAUAAAAAAUAAGGUACAGUGAA